GACGAACGCUGGCGGCGUGCUUAACACAUGCAAGUCGAACGGAAAGGCCCUGCUUUUGUGGGGUGCUCGAGUGGCGAACGGGUGAGUAACACGUGAGUAACCUGCCCUUGACUUUGGGAUAACUUCAGGAAACUGGGGCUAAUACCGGAUAGGAGCUCCUGCUGCAUGGUGGGGUUUGGAAAGUUUCGGCGGUUGGGGAUGGACUCGCGGGUUAUCAGCUUGUUGGUGGGGUAGUGGCUUACCAAGGGUUUGACGGGUAGCCGGCCUGAGAGGGUGAACGGCCACAUUGGGACUGAGAUACGGACCAGACUCCUACGGGAGACAGCAGUGGGGAAUAUUGCACAGUGGGCGGAAGCCUGAUGCAGCAACGCCGCGUGCGGGAUGACGGCCUUCGGGUUGUAAACCGCUUUCGCCUGUGACGAAGCGUGAGUGACGGUAAUGGGUAAAGAAGCACCGGCUAACUACGUG
rnacentral:rRNA from 1 species